rfam:Schistosoma haematobium C9854237_1, whole genome shotgun sequence.
AUCCAGCUGACGAAUCUCAAACAGGAUGAAACUCGCUUCCUGUAU